rnacentral:rRNA from 1 species
GACGAACGCUGGCGGCGUGCCUAAUACAUGCAAGUCGAGCGGAAUGAAGAAGAAGCUUGCUUCUUCUGAUUUUAGCGGCGGACGGGUGAGUAACACGUGGGCAACCUACCAUGUAGAUUGGGAUAACUCCGGGAAACCGGGGCUAAUACCGAAUAAUCCAUUUUGCUUCAUGGCGAGAUGUUGAAAGACGGUUUCGGCUGUCACUACAAGAUGGGCCCGCGGCGCAUUAGCUAGUUGGUAGGGUAAUGGCCUACCAAGGCGACGAUGCGUAGCCGACCUGAGAGGGUGAUCGGCCACACUGGGACUGAGACACGGCCCAGACUCCUACGGGAGGCAGCAGUAGGGAAUCUUCCACAAUGGACGAAAGUCUGAUGGAGCAACGCCGCGUGAGUGAAGAAGGUUUUCGGAUCGUAAAACUCUGUUGUAAGGGAAGAACACGUACGAGAGUAACUGCUCGUACCUUGACGGUACCUUAUUAGAAAGCCACGGCUAACUACGUG